GUUAAGAAUCUUCCUCAAUGCACGAAAGUGUGAAGGAGCGACGCCGCGUGAAUGAAGAAGCCCUUCGGGGUGUAAAAUUCUUUUCUUAGGGAAGAACAAAUGACGGUACCUAAGGAAUAAGGGGCUGCUAACUUCGUGCCAGCAGCAGCGGUAAUACGAAGGCCCCGAGCGUUAUCCGGAAUCAUUGGGCGUAAAGCGUCUGUAGACGGCUUGUUAAGUUAAUCGUUAAAUACUAAUGCUCAACAUUAGUUCAGCGAUUAAUACUGGCAAGCUAGAGGUUGGAAGAGGCAAGCGGAAUUGCCGGUGUAGUAGUAAAAUGCGUUAAUAUCGGCAGGAACACCAAAUGCGAAAGCAGUUUGCUAGAACAACCCUGACGUUGAGAGACGAAAGCGUGGGUAGCGAAUGGGAUUAGAAACCCUGGUAGUCC
rnacentral:rRNA from 1 species